rnacentral:rRNA from 1 species
UACGGAGGGGGCUAGCGUUGUUCGGAAUUACUGGGCGUAAAGCGCACGUAGGCGGCUUUGUAAGUUAGAGGUGAAAGCCCAGGGCUUAACCCUGGAAUUGCCUUUAAGACUGCAUCGCUAGAAUCGUGGAGAGGUGAGUGGAAUUCCGGAGUGUAGAGGUGAAAUUCGUAGAUAUUCGGAAGAACACCAGUGGCGAAGGCGACUCACUGGACACGAUUGACGCUGAG